rnacentral:rRNA from 1 species
UUGAACGCUGGCAGCAGGCCUAACACAUGCAAGUCGAGCGGAUGAAGGGAGCUUGCUCCCUGAUUCAGCGGCGGACGGGUGAGUAAUGCCUAGGAAUCUGCCUGGUAGUGGGGGACAACGUUUCGAAAGGAACGCUAAUACCGCAUACGUCCUACGGGAGAAAGCAGGGGACCUUCGGGCCUUGCGCUAUCAGAUGAGCCUAGGUCGGAUUAGCUAGUUGGUGAGGUAAUGGCUCACCAAGGCGACGAUCCGUAACUGGUCUGAGAGGAUGGACAGUCACCCUGGAACUGAGACACGGUCCAGACUCCUACGGGAGGCAGCAGUGGGGAAUAUUGGACAAUGGGCGAAAGCCUGAUCCAGCCAUGCCGCGUGUGUGAAGAAGGUCUUCGGAUUGUAAAGCACUUUAAGUUGGGAGGAAGGGUUGCUGAUUAAUACUCUGCAAUUUUGACGUUACUCGCAGAAUAAGCACCGGCUAACUCUGUGCCAGCAGCCGCCGUAAAAC